GGGGGGAGAAAGCAACAAGGCUACCGAUGGUUUCUUACACAUUCCUCUAUUUUCCUCCACAGUUUAUUUCCCUUCUGUUUCUCAUCAGUUCUCUCCCUCUCCUGCUUCCACAUCAACACUAUUCUGUUUGAGAAAACUAGAGCUUAAGCAAUAUGAGAGAAAGAGGGAAGGAGAGAUGUUAGAUGGAGGGAGAAUGACGCCUGAAAAGAAAGAGAGAGAGAGAGAGAGAGAGAGAGAGAGAGAGCGAGACCUAUUCAACAGUGGCAUCUAUGCAUUAUGACUUGAAACAGCCACACUAUGUCCAACGUUGUGCUACAUUACCCCAGCUAUUAUACAGAGAAACACCAUCUGAUCCAGCCGGCCAGCCAGCCAAUCACACACUAUGUCCAACGUUGUGCUACAUUACCCCAGCUAUUAUACAGAGAAACACCAUCUGAUCCAGCCAGCCAGCCAAUCACACACUAUGUCCAACGUUGUGCUACAUUACCCCAGCUAUUAUACAGAGAAACACCAUCUGAUCCAGCCGGCCAGCCAGCCAAUCACACACUAUGUCCAACGUUGUGCUACAUUACCCCAGCUAUUAUACAGAGAAACACCAUCUGAUCCAGCCAGCCAGCCAGCCAAUCACACACUAUGUCCAACGUUGUGCUACAUUACCCCAGCUAUUAUACAGAGAAACACCAUCUGAUCCAGCCGGCCAGCCAGCCAAUCACACACUAUGUCCAACGUUGUGCUACAUUACCCCAGCUAUUAUACAGAGAAACACCAUCUGAUCCAGCCAGCCAGCCAAUCACACACUAUGUCCAACGUUGUGCUACAUUACCCCAGCUAUUAUACAGAGAAACACCAUCUGAUCCAGCCAGCCAGCCAAUCACACACUAUGUCCAACGUUGUGCUACAUUACCCCAGCUAUUAUACAGAGAAACACCAUCUGAUCCAGCCAGCCAGCCAAUCACACACUAUGUCCAACGUUGUGCUACAUUACCCCAGCUAUUAUACAGAGAAACACCAUCUGAUCCAGCCAGCCAGCCAAUCACACACUAUGUCCAACGUUGUGCUACAUUACCCCAGCUAUUAUACAGAGAAACACCAUCUGAUCCAGCCGGCCAGCCAAUCACACACUAUGUCCAACGUUGUGCUACAUUACCCCAGCUAUUAUACAGAGAAACACCAUCUGAUCCAGCCGGCCAGCCAAUCACACACUAUGUCCAACGUUGUGCUACAUUACCCCAGCUAUUAUACAGAGAAACACCACUUGACCCAACCAGCCAGCCAAUCACCCCACACACACACACACACACACACACACACACACACACACACACACACACACACACACACACAAACUUUGUUUACCUAAUUCACUUAUCUGUGAGUGAUUGUGUAUCCCCAUUCAGGGCUUAAACUGACAGACAACCUUUCUGUCAUCCUUUCCUCGCCCCUUCCUGAAAUCCCUUUGACAGUAAAACCUUCACUGAAUGACAGAGAGCUUGUUUCAUAUUGUUUUUCUCCUUCAGUCUAGAAUAUUGUGUACAAUUCUAAUGCAGUGUUUGGACCGCUUGUGAAGGAGUCUUGGAGGUGAAUCCUAAUUUAUACACAUUUUCACCAAGUCUCCUGUUGACAUCAAUAUGAAGUGAAAUUGUAGCACUAACAGGUAGUUAGGAUUGGCCCUUUAGUGAGGAAGGAUGGAGGGGUUACUUCUUUAGUGAGGAAGGAGUGGAGGGUUCCUUCUUUAGCGAGGAAGGAGUGAGGAAGGAGUGGAGGGUUACUUCUUUAGUGAGGAAGGAGUGGAGGGUUCCUUCUUUAGUGAGGAAGGAGUGGAGGGUUACUUCUUUAGUGAGGAAGGAGUGGAGGGUUCCUUCUUUAGUGAGGAAGGAGUGGAGGGUUACUUCUUUAGUGAGGAAGGAGUGGAGGGUUACUUCUUUAGUGAGGAAGGAGUGGAGGGUUACUUCUUUAGUGAGGAAGGAGUGGAGGGUUAUUUCUUUAGUGAGGAAGGAGUGGAGGGUUACUUCUUUAGUGAGGAAGGAGUGGAGGGUUACUUCUUUAGUGAGGAAGGAGUGGAGGGUUACUUCUUUAGUGAGGAAGGAGUGGAGGGUUAUUUCUUUAGUGAGGAAGGAGUGGAGGGUUACUUCUUUAGUGAGGAAGGAGUGGAGGGUUCCUUCUUUAGUGAGGAAGGAGUGGAGGGUUAUUUCUUUAGUGAGGAAGGAGUGGAGGGGUUCCUUCUUUAGUGAGGAAGGAGUGUCCCUCAUUCCCCUCUGUCAUCUUCAUGAUACUGUAGGUGUGUUGAUUUGAAGAAGGCAGACGUUUAUCGGCUUAGACAAACACACACACAGUUGUUGCUCUAAGCCAAACAGACAUAUGGCGAAGUGACAGCAGCCAGGUCUGAUAAGUCUCUUUCUCCCCCUCGCAUAAACUAUGAGAGAGACAGAGAGAGAGAGAGUGUGAGAGAGAGAACACCCAACAAAAUCACGAGAAAACAAAAAGAUAAUUACUUGACACAUUGGAAAGAAUCAACAAAAAAACUGAGCAAACUAGAAUGCUAUUUGGCCCUAAACAGAGAGUACACAGUGUCAGAAUACCUGACUGCUGUGACUGACCCAAACUUAAGGAAAGCUUUGACUAUGUACAGACUCAGUGAGCAUAGCCUUGCUAUUGAGAAAGGCUGCCGUAGGCAGACCUGGCUCUCAAGAGAAGACAGGCUAUGUGCACACUGCCCACAAAAUGAGGUGGAAACUGAGCUGCACUUCCUAACCUCCUGUCCAAUGUAUGACCAUAUUAGAGACACAUAUUUCCCUCAGAUUACACAGAUCCACAAAGAAUUUGAAAGCAAACCCAAUUUUGAUAAACUCCCAUAUCUACUGGGUGAAAUACCACAGUGUGUCAUCACAGCAACAAGAUGUGUGACCUGUUGCCACAAGAAAAGGUCAACCAGUGAAGAACAAACACCAUUGUAAAUACAACCCAUAUUUAUUUAUUUUCCCUUUUGUACUUUAACUAUUUGCACAUCAUUACAACACUGUAUAUAGAAAUACUAUGACAUCUGAAAUGUCUUUAUUCUUUUGGAACUUCUUUGAGUGUAAUGUUUACUGUUAAUUUGUAUUGUUUAUUUCACUUUUGUUUAUUAUCUACUUUACUUCUUUUGGCAAGUGACAGAGAGAGAGACAGACAGAGAAAGAGAGAGAGAGACAGAGACAGACACAGAGAGAGAGACAGACAGACAGACAGACAGACAGACA
rnacentral:lncRNA from 1 species